GUAUGGUGCAAGCGCUAUCCGGAUUUACUGGGUGUAAAGGGAGCGCAGGCGGUGCGGCAAGUCUGAUGUGAAAGCCCGGGGCUCAACCCCGGUACUGCAUUGGAAACUGUCGUACUAGAGUGUCGGAGGGGUAAGCGGAAUUCCUAGUGUAGCGGUGAAAUGCGUAGAUAUUAGGAGGAACACCAGUGGCGAAGGCGGCUUACUGGACGAUAACUGACGCUGAGGCUCGAAAGUGUGGGUAGCAAACAGGAUUAGAUACCCUGGUAGUCCACACCGUAAACGAUGAUUACUAGGUGUUGGAGGAUUGACCCCUUCAGUGCCGCAGUUAACACAAUAAGUAAUCCACCUGGGGAGUACGACCGCAAGGUUG
rnacentral:rRNA from 1 species